AAAAAAUAAUCUUUCUUUGCCAUUUUAAAUUGGCUUUUCCCUGAUACCCCUGUCCUGCUCUUCCCAAAACCAGUCCAGGGCCUUAUGACAUCAUGCUUUGCAUGAUACACAUUCUUGCAAGCCAAGAAAUGAGAGUUUCAAGCACAUUAUAUUAACAUAGUGAUUGUCUUAACCUUAUAAGUCCUACUGUCCUCUCACAGCAUUGGCUGAAAUUGUAAUAUGUGCUAGAGAGAAACUAAAGCAUCUUUAUGCUAUUAUUUUCCAGGCUAAAAUAGUAGAGAAGUUGAAAGUUACUCAAGAUAAUAGCACUUUAUUACUGAGUGAUUCCUCUUCUUG
rnacentral:lncRNA from 1 species